CCUCCUGCUGUGCCCGACUGCAGACCUCACUUCUCCGAACAUUGCAGUGAGCAGGUGUCAACACUGUUCUUUUUCUUGGUGAAAUGGAAGGUCACAGCUGCACUCAGGCUUCUGACGUGGCAGCCUGGCAGUGACUGCCCUCCCUAGAGACCUGGGUUCUGGCCCCAUGGAGAUGACUGCAGGCUUCAGCCAGAGUAAGUGUUUAAUGAGUGUUGGAAGAAUUGGCUGAUCUGUGUUUGGUUCUUUAAAAUACAUCAUCCGAGUCUCUUUCUUUCAUGUAUGUUUCAGCCGCUGCCUUUUGUUGUUGCUGAGCAUCCUUCCUCCUGAGCCCCUGGUCCUUGGGCGAUGUUCCCCUGAGGGCAGAGAGCCUCCUGGGCCGUCAGCCGGGGCUGACUAGGGGCUGAGGACGCAGAGCCUGGACUCUGAGUCACUUCUGCCUGGGUUACGGCCAGGCUUCUGUCUGAAAGUCUGGGAAAGCCCAUUCGUUCAUUCAGCAAACAUUUCUCAGGCUUGCUAGGGGGCACCAGAGGCACUGAAGGAGUGAUGUGGAGUCUAUAUUCUGGGCUCACACCCAGAUUUCUGGUCAGCUGGCAUCGUGGGAGGCUUGCAUCCCCACUCUGAUUCUCUGAUCAGCAGCUUAGAAGUGUCUCCAGACAGUUGUGGUGACCUCAGUCUCAGUAGAAAUUCUAAUUUCCACCUUGGGGGACACAGGCUGCCCCAGGGACCCCCAGCCCCUGGUGGCUGGGAGAGUUCCAGCUCUGCAGACCCCGAGGGCGCGACCACAGGAGGUCUGAUCUGUGCCUCUCUGAGCCAGGCCUCGUCUGUGUCAGCAAAUGGAGCGUGGCAAUUGGCCAAAUUAUUCAGAUAACGAGAGCAGAGACAUCCCUGUGUCCCAAGCAUAAGUAUUUCAGGGAAAAUGGGGCUUCUGCUGCUGGCAACAGAGAGAAAGCUCUAUGUCCAGAGGAGGUGGGGAGUGUUCAGUGCUUUGAGGGGCAGCUGGAGGCGGUGGCGGGGCAGAGCCUCUUUCCCAGAUUGGGCACCACUUGCCCGGACACCCAAUGCCCAGGGCUCCUCUGCGGGCUUUGGUUCCGGGCUCCUCUCUGUCUCAGCUCUCGGGGGAGGGUCAGGAAAUAAGAGAAAGGACAAGGUCAGUUUAGACAGGGCCCCGACCAAUCUCUUUGGGUCUGCAUCCCCAAAUGAACCUGUCAACUGAUGGAACCAGCAAUCAGGAUGAGCAGCGCGCCAGGAACCCGUCAGACGCUAAGUGGGAACACAUCUGUGGAUGAACACGGAAGCCGCUGCGGGCUUUCUCCUGUGAUGCCACAGCGGGUUUGGAUUUUGGGGACUCGCGACCGGCUGAGGCACUAUCCAAGGGCCACACUUCCCAACCCACUGUGGUGUCUCUGGAAAGGAAAUGAGUGCUCCCUUCCAGACGCACAGACCUGCCAGAGAAACCACGACAAACACGGAGGCGCCAAGAGCAGCGCUUGCAGAGGAAAAUCACAGAAACGGGCCCUGGCAGGUGCACAGACUCCUGUCUGGGUGACCGGUGGUCCCAGUCAUUUAAGUGGAAUGUUCGUCCUCCCUGUGGCAGUGAAUGGCUCCCACCUGUCCAGCCCAGGCCUGCGGGGUCCGUCAUGGAGCCUGAGGCCACAGCUGUCCCCACUGUGAUCUUCAAUGAUUACACAACGAGUAGUUGUCAACGCCAUGUUUAACUCACUAACCAACAACAGACCAUGUCCCCUGAACACCUGUGUGAGUCUGACAAUAAGACUAAACCUUUGGGGGGCUUCUGGGCUGUGCAGAGCCAGCUACCUUACAGUGAGGGUCGUUACAAAUGCACUGUGACAACAGUUUACAUCUUCCAACAGUGGGCGAUGCAGCUCAGGUUGGCCAUCAGGAAUUGCUCUAGCAUGCCACCAAAGUCACUCGUCUUUCCCGUGUUCUUUCACAUCUGAUCACAAUUCUGCAUGCUGCUUACUCCCACGCCUACGACUCCAGUGAGAUCACUCACCUGUCUGCCCCCUUGUUUCUUCAUUGAGUGCUCAUGUCCCAAACCAAGCGCCUUGUGUGCCCCACCCAGAACCCCGAGCUCACUCAGGCGAGGUGGCCCAGGUUCUCACAGUGGCUGUGGCACAAACCCUGGUGUCAUCUUGAUUCAUUGGUCUUUCUUGUACCCACAUUUUCCAGCAAAGGCAGUUGGCUCUACCUUCAAAGCAUAUCCAGACCCAGCCACAGCUCACCACCUCCACGGCCGCCUCCCUGCCCUGGGUACUGCAGUCACCUCCUGCAGGGUCUCCUUGCUUCUGCCAGGUGUCCUUCAGCUGCCACCCAAUUCAUCAGAGUAAAGCUGCUGUCUGGUCCCAUGCUUUCUCCUUGACUUCAUCUGCUUUCCCUCCAACUUCAUCUGCUGUCCCCGGCUCCCUUCUUUCCUGCCACACGGCUUCCCACUGUCCUUGAACAGGCCAGGAUGGCUCCAACCCCAGGGCCUUUGCACUUGCUCUCACUCCAGAUAUCUGUCCUUUUCAGGGUCAGCAAAGGUGGAAAUCCUUAUUGGCUCUCUGGGAGGACAGGCCACAGGAUAACGGGAAUGAUCAGAAAUAGAAACACAUCAAUUAAUAUAGCAAAAGAGUGUAUUGUAUUUAUGCACUUGUAUGUGUGCCAGCUUCUGACUUAUUUCAAGAUGUUAAGGUUUAUGGAAAACCCCACAAAUAAUUUCUAUGCUAUUUGCCAGUAAUACAGAUUCCAAAACUAAAAAGAGGAAAUAUUGGCAUAAUAAGAACCACUCUGGGUUAAAAGACCCUCUGACUGGUCUUGGCUGUCCCGACAUGGACCAGCCUGUCUCGAUGGACGGGGUGGGCUGGAGAGGAGACUUGAGCGCCAGCCGGGCCUGCCCCGAGGUGGGGGUCCCUUAGGGCUUGUCCCCCAGGAGAGCAGACCGCAGAGCGAGGAGGCAUGGACAAGGCUUUCUUGGCAGAGGAAGUAGCGCCUUGGUUUAUGUUCCAGGCGAGGGGACUUCCAGAGCCUUUCCAGUCUAGUGGGAACCCGAAAUGAGCAACACUGCGGGCUUUCUCGUCCCUUUUGAGAAGCGGCUCAGAGCCUGGCCCUACUCACUUUCUGCGGGUCCACCCCAGACAAAGCCACCAGACUUGUGCGCCGUGGGGAGACUCAAAAACACGUCUGGCAUGUUUACGUGAGCCCGAGAAAAAGGACCCAAAGCUUUCUCGGAGCUGAGGUUUAAACUUCAAGUUCUAUGUCUGCUGUGAAGGCACAGAAGACGCUCUCAGUGCAUGUCAUUCUCUGGGGAUGGGGGCCAGUUUAUUGUCGAGGGCCCUUUCUUUGAAGAUUCUGCUGCGAUGUUGCUUGGGUUUCCCUUUUAAGGUUGGAUGAACAAGGGGCAAAUUUUCUGAGACCAGACUGCUUUCCUGUCUGAGUUGUUUUUGGGGCAGUGGGCAAGGACAGUGGGUUAGCCAGGCCCUCCUGCCUUCCAGGGACGUCCUGAUCUUCCCGGAAGUGUCCCCUGGGCCAGGCUGACCUGGCCGGGCCGCAGGGCUGGAUCCAUCUUGUGGCUCCAGGUGAGCACAGCUCACACCCAUCUCACAGCCCUGCACCUUGUUCUGGGGCCCUGUGCUCUCCUCCUCACCAAGCAGCUGCUUGGGCGUGGUCUCAUGACCCAUUGGCCCUUUCUAACCCUUUCCCCUGGAGGCUCAGUGAACUGCCUUAGUAUCUCUGUGCCCAGAGCAGACUUGGCUCCACCUUCUGGCCACUUCUGUCCCCCAGCCACACUGGUGCUCGCUGGACACUGGGCCCUGUGGUUGGCUGGUGGGUGCGUCCACCUGCCUGGAGCCAAAGCCUUGCUCAGGUCUGCGGCAAAGUCACUUUGUGUCCCCUCAGAAAACUGCAUGUCAUCUCAGUGGGAACAGGAAUGCCCCUCAGUGGGAACAGGAAUGCCCCUGAGCCUGUUGAAUUUCUGAAAUAGCCCCAAAUCUGUCGCAGAAGAAGAAGAAGAAAGAAAACUGGGGUAGCAGGAGUGUUUGAGGAGAAAAUCACUGAGAGUUCUCCAGAAUGAAUGAAAGAUGCUUGUUCACAGACUCAAGAGAUCCAGUAAAUUCCAAGCAGAAGGACUGAAAAUGCAACACAGUGAGUGGCCCCGUGGCUCAGAAGGUGGGGUCCAGGCCCACCCACCUGGGGCCGGCGCCGCGUGUCCAGUGGCUGUGCAGGGAUGCGGCCCACAGCUCAGAGGCUGACCCACGGAGGGUUGUUGCCUUUAGAGGGCGGCAGAGCUAUGGCCUGCAUGUGGGAGAGCUGGGGGGCAGGGACCACGUCUUGUGGGGUUCUUGAGCUUAAAGGUUGUGGAGAGGAGCUGCAGGCGGAGGCGACCGAGGAGAGAUGGCGCUGUGGGACCCCGAGCCACUCCAGCUGUGGCAGCAGCAGCAGCAGCAUCCCAUUCUGCCCCGCGGCAGGUAAGGAGGGCUGAAGCUGGCUGUUCAGUUCAGUGACCACAGGUCACCUUUGCGAGCGCCGCUUCUUAGAGACAUAAUAACUCUGAAUGACCCACUUUCUUUCGGAGAUUUAUUACAGCUUGUUGUUAUUUUAUUAUUACUGUCUGCAAUUUUCUCUUCUACUGCUCCUGGGAGCAGUAAGUUUAAAGUGCAGUCCUUCAGAAAAGGCUUGAAUUGGGCAUACAUCAUCAUCUCCGUAGAUGGCCUGCUCACAGUGAGCGUCGUCUCAAGGUUUAGAAGGGGACGCUGUGGCUGUUUCCACCCUGGCUGCCCCUUUUCGCACAGGUUGUUCCCUUGGGGGCUGCGGGGGUGGGUGUGUGCGUGUGUGUAUGUGCUCGUGUGCGGGUUGUGUGACCUUGGAGGUAACUUCAUUGCUCUAAGCCUGGGCGUCUUCAUCUGUUGGGGGCAGGGUGACGAGCUCUGCCUUGCUGGGCUCUGGUAGCUUAGCAUAUGGCUGGAUGGGAAGUGUCUGCAUUUUUCUGGGUGUUGGGCUGGAGUCUGGGAGACAGGCCAUGGCGUGUGUGCGUGACUGUCCUGGUGGCCUGGGAUGGUGGAAGGAUGACAAGGGUGGAGUCCUUUGCAUGUGCUGGAUCUGGAGAAACAGGAAGCAACGCUGUCAGAAGUAGGUGAGGUGUCACAGCCUGGCUCCUCUCUGCUGCCCUUGUGCCCUGAGUGUCACCUGCACUGAGACUUGGAAACUUGCCAGAAGCCACAGUCCAGGUCAGGACUGGCACUUGGUUCUUUCCCACCCUGGCUUCACGCGGUCUCCGAAGCACGAAGCAGAACCCUGAGAGCAGCACCUCGGUCAGCAGAGUGGUGACCAGAGCCCCCCGGCUGGUGCCUCAGUGGAUCUGACUGGUGACAGCUGUACACAACGUUAAAGAAGGGCUGACUGUUUCACCCUCCUCACCCCAAAAGCAUCUGGAGGAGAACCAGCUGUGCAUUCUCCCGUGACUCCAGGCUUGGCAGUACGCCCGGGCACCUGCCCUUGCCCCCAGGAACCCUGCCCUUAAAGAUGAGUGUUCGGGUAAGAUGGGUGGAGCUUUCUGAACAGAGGAGGCCCAGAUGCUAUCUCAGGGCGUUCUGUUCCUCCGUGCACCCGGAACUGCCUCACCCUUCCUGCUCCUCCCGCUGCCCCCUUCUAGCCCCUCGUGGCCGUGAUGGCCGUAGGAGACCCUGUGCAUGUACCCGCCCAUCCCAUACCUGUUCUGUGUGCCCCUCCCUCCCAGCUUUGUUGUGCUUCUAUGACCUGCACCUCCCAUGCUUUGUCAGAGAACCGUCCCCACCUGCAGGUGCAGGGAGCUGACAGUACUCGGGGUGGGGGCAGUGACUGGGCAGGAAGCCAGGACGGCUCUGGGCAAGACUCCACCCUCCAGAGUCCCCACGGAAUCCUCCUGGCUGUCCCCUUCCCGGUUCUGUUUCCUCAUUCCCUGGGGGUAGAUCCUUAUCAUGUACACAGGGAUGGCCUUCUCGGGGUCUGUGCCUGAACCCUGAAUCCUGAAUCCUGGAGUGUCUGUGGUCCUGGGACCCAGAGACUAAGGAUGUGAUUCUCAGCUGACCAGACGGCGACAAGUGCCCCUCCCUGGAGGUAGGUGGAGGGCUGACCGCUCCUGUGUGCUGAGGCAUUGCAAUUCCUGACUCCUCCCUUCAGUGAAUUGGGGUGGGGUACCAAUGCCAGGGGGUGGCAUAGCUUGUACAAUGCCCCUGGGAUUUGGGAGAUCCAAGGGAUAUGGGCACCCUACCCGAGCUGUGGAACUGGAUGGUGUUUGGAGGUGCCAUUAAUGCAACAAAGGGGAAAUGGUCAAACAAGACAGCAGUUACCAAGCUAAGGUGACAAGAGCAGACCAAGACCAGACACACUAGCCAGAGGCAGAAGGUCAGGGAAGCAUGAAUUUACAGUCACUUCCUCCACCAGGCGAGCUCCCGACAGGGAGGAGUGGGACUCUGAGGUGGGGCAUCUAGGUGAGGUCUUUAGGAAUGUUGGGCCCUAAUUCCCUGAGCCCUCUGGGACUGUGGCCACCCUGGAGGCCUGUACAAGGCAGAUGUCUGUCACUCUCUUUGGUGUCCAGCUCACCUCCUCCCCGGGCCACGAGGCUGCUUUCUCUGCCCUGAGCAGUGGCCUCCCAACUACCAACCUGUGAUGGUGCCCAGAUUCCCAGGUUCCCUCAGGGAAAUCAGUGGCAAUGACACUGCAUCACUUCCUCUGGGCUUGUGACACCUGCCCCUUGUUCUCAGGUGUCCCCCCAGCUCUGUCUCCCAGGCCGCCUCUGCUUUUUUGGGGGUUUCCUCACCCAACCCACACAGCCUCAGGAUUCAGCACAUGUUUCGGGGUAGCCCACCCUGCACUUGGCACCCCCACUCUGCCGUGCUGCAUUCCAGCACAGCAGGGCCCCAAAAGCACAGAGAAUGGCUGAGUCUCUGAAUAAGAUACAAACCGAAUACAUGGAACAGACAUUCUCAUCAACCACUGAUUACAUGUAAAGCUUCCCAGUGACUUUCGAGUCUUUGGGCCCUUUAGAUGGAAUGGGGAUGCAAGCUCUGGGUCCCUGGAAUGCCUUGGUGAUCCCACGUGGACGGCAGUCUGAUCGCAUAUUUGAUUUCCGUUCUCCCCUGAAAAUCCCCGGUCACCAGCACUUUCCUUGUGGGUGUGCAGGUAAUGCAAAGCUAUUUCUUGUUUCUCUGCAUCAACUUGAGGAUCACUAUUCACUAAAAAGAAAUUUGUUUGCCUUAUUAAUGUUGCUAAAUGGUUUUUCAGUGAUCUCAAGGCGAUGUUUAUAUGUGAGAAUGGUUUUCUUUUUAUUGUUGCUGCAUUCUGAAAGAACGCAUCUCUAUCCUUUCGGGAUUGCUGAAGGAAAGAAGAGCCCUGUCUGCUUAUCUGAGGGGGUCGGGGCGCUGGAGGGAACUCUGUGGGUGCAGAGACAUGCUGAUGUCACCUGGGGAGAGGACAGGGCACAGGCGGUGUGACUGCAGGGUCGGUUCAGUGAGAACCAGAGCCUUUUUGUGACCCUCCUUUAUAACGGCUGGCUAUGCAAAGUUACUUGGUUAAAUUGAGCAUUAUUACUAAAGACAGCAAAAUCCAAGCCCUUAUUUGAGUCCUAAAUUUGUCAGUUAGUAGCCACGUGACUGGUCACCUCAUCUCUCUGAGCCCCACUGUUCUUAUUUCCCGUCAUGAUAAAGAUGGUGAUGACACUGGUGAUAGGAUGGUGAUACCUUGCCUCGUGUCACAUCUCUGGAAAUGAGUGAAGACUAUCCAGAUGAGGAAAGCAAAGGUGUGUGCGGAGAGCCGGCUGUAGCGAGGGAGUCGGCCCGUCACUUGGUUUGGCAGAGACGCAAAGGCAGGCAGGGGAUGGGGGAGCUUCAUAGGGGAGAAAGGAGGCUCAGGGUGCCCUGAUGGGGGUUGUGGGCCUGGGGGCGCUGGGGUGGGCUAACUAGAAGUGGGGCGUCCUUGUGAUUGGUUAGGGGAGUGUGUUCGGCUGUCUCUGGUUGGUCCUGAGUUGGAAGCAGGGGCAAAAAUUAGGGAAGCUAUCAGUUACUGACCAAGUCCUGGUCAUUAGGGGCCGAUCGUUAUGGGGUUAUUGUGUAGCCUCCUGGAUUGUCACUAGAGACAGCAAGCUGGCCCCCUGCAAGUCUGCAUGUGCAAGUCUGACAUGAACCAAACUCCAAAUGCCCAGAUCUCCCCAAUCCUGGCUCACAGGAGUGAUUGAGUGUAUUCAGUCUCUCACCUUGGAAGCUGUUGGUGGACCAGCUCCAGAGAAGGGAGGUAGACAUGCGAGCCUUUACAUCUGUGUCCUAACGCUGAGUUGACAGAGGACAGGCCGUCAGGGGCACCCGGCAUGUGGCUGGUGACCACGGGUCUGGUGGAGGUGGCACAGCUUCAGGGGAGUUUGGCAAGAUGUGCCUCGGGGUGCAAUCCUGGAGCUGGCGGGGCCCAGCAUAGGCUUAACCUUGAACCGCCUUCUGGCACAGAACAGUGAGUGGGAGACACCUUGCGCUGGAAUUAGUCCUUGAGUCAGGAGCACAUGGGAGGCCCGGAUGGUCCUGCGUCCAAAGACUGACAUGGGAAGAAAUUUCUCCGAAAUUUAUUUCCUGGGUAAAAGAAGAAUCAUUCUUUAAGGUUAAUAGCUCAAUUUUCAUUUAAUGAAACGCUAUUUCCCAGGAAAGCUCAGUUCCCAGCAAUUUUAUUCCCAGUAUGGCUGUGCAUCAGAAUCGUCUGGACAUUUUAAAAUUUAAAAUGUAAAGUUCUCACCUCAAUUACAAAAUGGGCAAAGGAUCUGAAUAAACGUUUUUCCGAAGAAGACAUACAGAUGACCAACAGGUGCGUGAAAUGGUGCUUGACGUCACUAACCAUUAGGAAAAUGUAGAUAAAGACCAUAAGGAGACAUCGCCUCACACCUGUCAGAAUGGCUAUCAUCAAAAAAGACAACAGACAAGUGCUGGUGAGGACAUGGAGAAAUGCAGCCUCGAGCUCUGCUUGGAACCUUUGCUUUAUAGGACACUACAUCUAAAUUCACUAAAUUCAGACAGAGUUUAUUGAAGCCCUAUGGCAUGAAGAUAAAAAGAAGAAGAUGAAAAUGACCAUUUUGUGAUCAUUCUAGUGCAUGAAGCUAGAUAGUUGCCUGAAGUAAAAGCACAAUAUAAUUUUUGUAAUGUUAGUUAUUAUUUUGUUUCAUUUGACUUUAUUUUAUUCUUUCCUGUAACGAAAGAGGAGGGAGAGAUACAGACAGAGACAGACACACAGAAAGAGAAAACUAAAGCGAAUGAGCUGUCCUAAGGCUUCAGACCCUCAAAAUCUUUCCUUGGUCCUAGUUGGGGGGUCUCAGAACUCCCCCAACAUCUGUCACCUGGCAGCCUGGAGCCUGGGGCAGAGGCACCGGCUCCAGGUCCACCCAGCGUUGGCGGCAGGAUGGUGGCUGGGCUCAGGUUUCUGGUCCUCAGCCCAGGAUGUGCCGGGGCCUGCCACACUCGUAAGACCAUGCCGUCUGAGGCGGGAGGGGGUACAGCAGAAACUCGAGAGAAGACAGCUCAGGCUGUCACGGAGCCCACAUUCCGGGAUGAGAUCCUCAGCCGGGGAGACAAUGCUUGCUUUGGACGUGAACCAAACUCCAGAUGCCCAAACCUCCCCCAUCCUGGCUCACAGGAGUGAGCGAGUGUAUUCUGUUCAGGGCCCGCCUUUCCUUCUCACUGCCCAAUGUCUGCCAGUGGCGUUGGAGGUAAUGAGCCAAGUCCCCAAAGGACCCCUUCCUAGAGGCAAACUGGACCAUUACAGUAUUACCUUUUUCAGAGAGAAAUUUCUGGAGCCCAACGUAUUUUGCAUGGAGCAACCAACUAUACAUAGCAAGCUGAAUCCUUUUCUGUUCUAUAGAAGAGAAGUCUGUGUCCACUUUUGAUAGCUGUAGGCAGAAAAAUUCCCACCAGUCCCUCCAUCUAGGGCUGAACUUUGAAGUGACCACAGCCCUUAACCCUGUCACCUCCAUGUGCUAGUUGGAGCCCUGGGUGAAUCCCUUCGCGUUCCCCAGAUGGACAGCAUUACAUGGAUGCCUGGGGCUUUGGCCCAUCCUGGAAUUCUCCCUGCAACGCUAACCUGGUGAAUUUAUGGGGAAGCCAAGUCCAAGACGAAUGAGAAUGCAGCCAGCUUUCCUGGACCACGCCCCCGAAUCUUGCGGUGAAUAACAGGCAUCCGUGAGGUGCUGGUGGACUUGAGAAUGGGAGCCAGCCCCUGGGAUCCCAGCAAAGCUAAAAGGCUACCAGCUUCCCGUGGCUGAGACAGUCGACGCCCACCUGGCCUCACUCCUGGGACCAGGCACAUCUCAAGUGUGGAGUGUAGGGGACAUUGGGGGUCUGCACUCUCUCAUUGUGUUUAUCAUGCUGUGUCCUGAGUUGCAGCCUCCCUUAAAGUGAAUCACACUUGGUUCGGAGUGAGGGCUCUUGUUUGAAUGUCUGGAUUCAGGGUGCUGCUGCUGGCCACCCAGGGUCGGCAUCCUCCCUGUAGCUUGUCCCUCUAAACUACCUCUCACUUGCAGUCACCAGGAAAGCUCUAACCUUCUGGGCAAAGACCUCUCCUGGACCCUCCUUCUUAUUCCGCUCCUGGCCUGGCCAUCUUUUGCUUCUGGGAGGGCAGGUAUGCGUUCCAGAAGCACAGAGAUGGCAUGGCCAUCUCCAUAGGAGUGUUUGGAAAUAGAUUCUGCAGGACAUGGCCUUUUACCUGGACUUUGAGGCUGGGUCAUGACAUGAGUGAGUCCUGGCUGAGGGUGAGGGCAUCCGCAUGCACCCCUCUGGGGAGGGGGUUGUCAUCAGGUCUGUGACCACAGCCAUUCAGACCAAAGCAUUUUGGAACAGAAAUGUUGCGAUGCCACACAUUUUCAGCGAGGCUGCUCUGGACCCAAACAGUCCUUAGGUGUAAGCGAGAGUUAAACAGUGCACUGAAUGUACACUUUUGAAACUUGUCUGUGCUGUAUGUUUCCAGUAAUUUACCUUUAGUUCUCAACCUAGCACUGCUGGUGCUCAUUGACUGGCUUGUGAACAGCGCCUUCACUGGACACCCCAGAUCAACAUGCAGGUCCGAUGCCUGGGGGCCCACAUGGAAACGAGACUUGACAGUUCACACCGUGGAACUGUGUGCAUGGAGAGGAAGAAAAGGUGCCCAGGAUUCAGUGGGUUGACAUUUGCUGCUCGCGUAUUCUGAGAAUCUCCCCUGAGAAUAAAUCUAUUGCUUAUUAAAAAAAUAAAUUAUAAAGACUUCCUGGUAAAGAUGGUGUCAUGGACCCAGAUCUUAGAAUCUCCCUUCCCCAAUUCCUGAUGAGACUAAUAAAUAGUAGAAAAAAUUAGCAAAACAUUUUCCACUCUCAAAGACAGAGUUAUAAAUUCACACCACAGCAUUUGAGAACGGCAGCCAAGGAAAGCGGUAGAAGAUUCUCGUGCAGCAUCUAACUCCUUCACAGCUCCCCGGAGACUAUACUGGAAAACAAGAGUCAACAAAGUCCUAAUAGUUCUCACUUGAAUUCCCUAAUGUUGGGAGAGGUGGACAGACGGUGGGUGUACAGCCUGGAGAGAAGUUUCAAGAAAUCCUCAAAUUGGAGGCUCUUGCCAACCACGGUGCAAUCUCAAGGUCUAAGCAGAGGCAAGAAAAUUACCAAGUUUGACAUUUUCUAGGACUCCACGCUGAGUUAAGGAAAUGCCCAAACCAGUAUCCUGCCAAGCGGGCUGACACUCCCCUGAGUAACUGUGUGACAUUUAGCGCAAUCUCAGAAAAGACAGCAGAACCCGGGAAAUCCAAUACAGCCUCACAGAGCAAGAAGAAAGGGAAAUUUUAGAGACCUAAUAUCAAGUGAGUGCAAAAAUCAGCCCCUUUAUAGAACUAGAAAAUGAACUAGAAACAGAAUAUACACAGCUAAAAUUUAAUCAACUCUUCUGGAGGAAAGUCUUGAAAUAAUCGUUGUGAACACAUAGGAGCUGUACAGAGAUAUGAAAGCAAUUAGAAAAAACAUAAAAGAUUUGAUGGGUUGACUUAGAUGAUCCAAUAUGAAUAAAAUUUAUUAAUGUUAAUUAGAAAACCAAUCAAUGAACAGAGUUUUCAAAAAUGUAAUAAAAAAAUUCCUGAAGUUAAAGGAACCUGAAGUUAAAGAUUGAAGAUGCAUAACUAUGAAGUAGUCUAGAAAAAAUUCAUUAUUAAAUGGACACAUUAUUAAGCGGGCAUGUUUUGACUGAAUUAUUGAACUUUAAGUGAAAAGAAAAAUUAUUUAGGUUUUGAGGAAGAAAAUGAAAUUCAUAUACAAGGAGAAAAAAACCAGGCUGACUACAUACUUCUUAGCAAUAUUCAAUGUGAAACGACAAUUGAGCAAUUAUCUGGCGCGAUUAAAUUGUUACCCUAAAAUGUAAAGCCAGUAAAAUUGUUAUUAAGUCUAAAGGCAAUAGGAGGCAUUCUUUAAAAUCUCAAGAAAUAUAGAGCCAGUGAAUAUUUUAUUGAAAAAAAUAGUCCAGUGAAGCAAGUCAGUUGAUCCAAAGAUGAGUGAAGAGGCUAUGCUCAGGGUCGGAGGUCACUGGUCAGUGGAGCGAUGUCCAGAAAGUUCUGAGGGAAGGCGAGUGUGACCCAGGAAUUUUACACCCAGCCAACCUUUCUUUCAAAUACUAAAGCCGUAGACAGACAUUCUCAAGUGAGCAAACUGCAGAGAAGAAACCACCCAAGAAUCUUUCCUGAAAAAAUGUGACAGUGAAAUCCAGCCAAGCAGAAGAUGAAUAAAAACAGAGUGUAGAAAUGGACAAAAGAACUGGAGGAGUAUACUGAAUCCACGGAAAUAUAGUUCUAUAUGCAGGGAUUUCGAUGAUUGAGUUGAGGGUGAAUGCUAUAAAGCAGGAGAAAACAUAAAAUUAUCAAAAAUUUACAAAGAAGUGGGAGGUGGAGAUCACAGGUGGCGUAAGUGCAAUAUUCUCAUGGCUCCGAACUCCUAAUGUUUUGUGUGUUGUAAAAAAUGUUUUCGGAAUCCAAAUGAUCUUUUCUGGUGAAUAAACACUACUCGAGGUUCAGCAUUUAAUUGUUUCAUCCCAGUUUCUUUUUUAAUUUAUUUCAAGUAAAUUAAAUUUUAAAAAUUAAAUUAAAGUAAGUAUGUGUA